UGAGGUGAUUAUCGCGCGGAGGCCCCACCCGUUCCCAUCCCGAACACGGCCGUUAAGCUCCGCAGCGCCGAUGGUACUCCAAACGGGGUAGAGUAGGUCGUCGCCUCAU
rnacentral:rRNA from 2 species